rnacentral:rRNA from 1 species
GGGUACGUAAAGCGCAUGCAGGUGGUUUGUUAAGUCAGAUGUGAAGCCCGGGGCUCAACCUCGGAAUUGCAUUUAGAAACUGGACAAACUAGAGUACUGUAGAGGGGGUAGAAUUUCAGGUGUAGCGGUGAAAUGCGUAGAGAUCUGAAGGAAUACCGGUGGCGAAGGCGGCCCCCUGGACACGAUACUGACACUCAGAUGCGAAAGACGUGGGGAGGCAAACAGGAUUAGAUACCCUGGUAG